UACGGGGGGGGGCAAGCGUUUGUUCGGAAUUACUGGGCGUAAAGGGCGCGUAGGCGGUUCGCUAAGUUGGAUGUGAAAACUCUGGGCUCAACCCAGAGCCUGCAUCCAAAACUGGCGGGCUAGAGUUCUGGAGGGGGUAGCGGAAUUCCUGGUGUAGCGGUGAAAUGCGUAGAUAUCGGGAGGAACACCGGUGGCGAAGGCGGUUCUCUGGGCCUUACCUGACGCUGAGGAGCGAAAGCGUGGGGAGCAAACAGG
rnacentral:rRNA from 1 species